rnacentral:rRNA from 1 species
CCUACGGGAGGCAGCAGUGGGGAAUCUUGCGCAAUGGGCGAAAGCCUGACGCAGCAACGCCGCGUGCGGGAAGAAGGCUUUCGGGCUGUAAACCGCUUUCAGCAGGAACGAAAAUGACGGUACCUGCAGAAGAAGGAGCGGCCAACUAUGUGCCAGCAGCCGCGGUGAUACAUAGGCUUCAAGCGUUGUCCGGAUUUAUUGGGCGUAAAGAGUUCGUAGGCGGUCGAGUAAGUCGGGUGUGAAAAUUCUGGGCUCAACCCAGAGACGCCACCCGAUACUGCUUGACUUGAGUUCGAUAGGGGAGUGGGGAAUUCCUAGUGUAGCGGUGAAAUGCGCAGAUAUUAGGAGGAACACCGGUGGCGAAGGCGCCACUCUGGAUCGAUACUGACGCUGAGGAACGAAAGCAUGGGUAGCAAACAGGAUUAGAUACCCUGGUAGUCCAUGCCGUAAACGGUGGGCACUAGGUGUGGGUUUCUAUUAACGAAAUCCGCGCCGUCGCUAACGCAUUAAGUGCCCCGCCUGGGGAGUACGGUCGCAAGACUAAAACUCAAAGGAAUUGACGG